AGUGUCCCGAAGCGGGGCGUGGGAGGUCGCGCUCAGACGCGUGGCGUGGCGUGGUGUGGUGUGGGGCGGCGCUUGUUCCGUGGAGCUCAGGGAUGUGCUCCGGCUCAGGCGAACCUGCCGUCUUCCGCGACUCUGACCGCUUCUCCUGGCAUGACCCGCACCUGUGGCGCUCUGGGGACGAGGCACCUGGCCUCUUCUUCGUGGACGCCGAGCGCGUGCCCUGCCGCCACGACGACGUCUUCUUUCCGCCUAGUGCCUCCUUCCGCGUGGGGCUCGGCCCUGGCGCUAGCCCCGUGCGUGUCCGCAGCAUCUCGGCUCUGGGCCGGGUGAGCACUGAGGGGAGGGAGGCUCGGGUCCCCUCUCCCCACCUCGGCCCGACCCCGCCCCUCCUGGUCUGCGCACGUUGGGUCUGAGCACUCAGGUGAAGUCUCUUCCUCGGGCUGGCUCCGGUGGGGACCCGGCUGCCCGCAGACGUUCACGCGCGACGAGGACCUGGCUGUUUUCCUGGCGUCCCGCGCGGGCCGCCUACGCUUCCACGGGCCGGGCGCGCUGAGCGUGGGCCCCGAGGACUGCGCGGACCCGUCGGGCUGCGUCUGCGGCAACGCGGAGGCGCAGCCGUGGAUCUGCGCGGCCCUGCUCCAGCCCCUGGGCGGCCGCUGCCCCCAGGCCGCCUGCCACAGCGCCCUCCGGCCCCAGGGGCAGUGCUGUGACCUCUGUGGAGCCGUUGUGUUGCUGACCCACGGCCCCGCAUUUGACCUGGAGCGGUACCGGGCGCGGAUAUUGGACACCUUCCUGGGUCUGCCUCAGUACCAGGGGCUGCAGGUGGCCGUGUCCAAGGUGCCACGCUCGUCCCGGCUCCGUGAGGCCGCUACGGAGAUCCAGGUGGUGCUGGUGGAGAAUGGGCCCGAGACAGGCGGAGCGGGGCGGCUGGCCCGGGCCCUCCUGGCGGACGUCGCCGAGAACGGUAACCGCGCCCGUCCCAUCCCGCCCCGCCGCGCCUCGCCCCGCCGCGGGGAAGACUGAGCCGGCCCCUCCGUCACAGGCGAGGCCCUCGGCGUCCUGGAGGCGACCAUGCGGGAGUCGGGCGCACACGUCUGGGGCAGCUCCGCGGCUGGGCUGGCGGGCGGCGUGGCGGCUGCCGUGCUGCUGGCGCUGUUGGUCCUGCUGGUGGCGCCGCCGCUGCUGCGCCGCGCAGGGAGGCUCAGGUACGCGGGGCGGGGGCGCGGAGGUGGGGCUGGGGGUUGCUCCGAGGGGCUCACGCUGCGUCCCCGCUACGCCCUCAGGUGGAGGAGGCACGAGGCGGCGGCCCCGGCUGGAACGCCCCUCGGCUUCCACAACCCGGUGUUCGACGUGACGGCCUCCGAGGAGCUGUGUCAGGUGCAAACUGGAGAGCAAGCCUGAGCUGACCAGACACCACCUGCCGCCCACUGCUCACCCGUCACAGAUGAUGGACUGUGCUGGCAGGGACCUGCCUCUGGUGUGGGCUGUGGAAGGAGAGCUGCUCUGGGCUUCCAGGGGAGCCGCCUGCUGCAGCAGCAGCCCAGGCCAUGCUGCCUGGCACAGAGCUCAAGGUCCCAAGUGCCCCCGCUGGGUGCUGGGCUGCCUGCCCUGGCUUGCAGUCUUCUCCCAGGUCCGCACUCUUCUGCAGGGGCCAUCACUGCCCUUGUCCUACCAAGGACAACUAGGUCUCAGUGAGUGGCAAAUAGAAGCCAACUGCCUGCAUAACUCAGGAAACUGACUCCGAGCAUUCCCUCAACCAGGGACCACUCACCCUGGCCCAGACCUCCCCGAGAGCUCCUGCCUCUUCCUGGGGCCUCAGGCCUACCCCAUCCUGUCCCUUGGGGCUGCUGGCGGGGUUGGCGUGUAUGGGUGUGGACAGGCAGACCCUCCCGGGCAGCCUGCUCCUGGGGCCCUGGCACUGCCUGGCUGGGGCUCACAGGCACGCUGCCCUCCUCCCUUCACUCCUGCCCUCUGUUCAGGCUGAACACCCCAACAGCAGCCUUUUGUGUGACCUCCGAGUGAGUUACCCAGAAUAGCUUCUGCUGGCGAAUAGCAUCUUCUGCAAGGUGGCUCCUUCACUGCCUUUUGGAGCUCAGGCACUUCUGGGGCCCAGACACACGGGUGACAUGUUAUCACAUCCAAACGGACCACUGGGAACUUUAAAACUGCCGUCUUCUGCUUUAUUGACAGCCUUGCCAAGCAGCCGACCGGUGGUGGGAGGACAGGGGAAGCCUGGCCCAAGCUGUGGACAAGCUGUGUCUGCCGCCACAGUUAAUCACAAGCCUCUGACGACACAGGGCCACAGAGCUGGUCACUCAACAUCUGGUACAAAGAAGGGAGGCAGAAGCCGUGGAAGCGAAUGGAAAACAGCACAGCUGACUUCACAGUAGUAGAUACUGGUGACACUUCAUGGCUGCGACCCAGAAUGAACUUAACGCACACAGGGACGCAGGGUGUCACUGGUCCUGGGCCUUUGUCCAUGACUAGGUGGUCAGCAGGACUUCUGCAGCUGACUAUGCAAUGGCUAAAUGAAAAAAAGGCCACAGACUAACCUCCCCUUUCCUGUCUUCAAAAUUCUAGUGACACUGGGAAUGCUAUAGGACCUCCUACUAUUCUCCUAAGGUCCUAGGAAAGUUUCAGGAACUAGGGAAAAGACUGGGUACUGAGGCUGUGUCCCCAGAUGUCUGCUUCCGAAGCAGCCGCGUCAUGACAGGUUUCUGCUGAGGAAGUGGCGUUGGCAGGGCCCCAUAUGCCCUCUCGGGUUGUCAGGGGUGGGAGACAGGCUGUAUGGGGGUCCUUCAUGUGCAGAUGGAACAGCGUCGCCUCACAGCUGUGCAGACGAACAGAUGUGGUCUACUGCCACGAACAAUGCGGCAUAAAACUGAUCAAUAUUAUAAUAAAGAUUUGUCUUCUUCAUCUCC
rnacentral:sRNA from 1 species